UACGUAUGGUGCAAGCGUUAAUCGGAAUUACUGGGCGUAAAGCGUGCGCAGGCGGUUCUAUAAGACAGAUGUGAAAUCCCCGGGCUCAACCUGGGAACUGCAUUUGUGACUGUAGAGCUGGAGUACGGUAGAGGGGGAUGGAAUUCCGCGUGUAGCAGUGAAAUGCGUAGAUAUGCGGAGGAACACCGAUGGCGAAGGCAAUCCCCUGGACCUGUACUGACGCUCAUGCACGAAAGCGUGGGGAGCAAACAGG
rnacentral:rRNA from 1 species